AAAGUUUUUUAAGUACCCACUAGAGGGUGCUGAAAGAGAGAAAAAGCUUUAAACCAACGGACGUGUUAGGAAUGUCUCCUAAUUCUUAUCAAUAUUAUACCAAUAUUCAAGAUUACUUUUAGAUUGAAGAUCCUUAUUUUCAUCCCUCCCCCCAUAUCAAGGAUUUCUGCUAAUUUCAAUGAUUUUUAAUGUUUUGGUGAAAGCAUGUGUUUCUGUGUAUAGGAAGAAAGAACAGCUGUGCAUUACAGAUAACGUCAGGAAGUCUCUGCUUUACAGAAUCAGAUCCAUCACAUGACAACAUGAAGCUCUGGAUUCAUCUCUUGUAUUCAUCUCUCCUUGCCUGUAUAUCUUCACAGUCCCAAUCUCCAAUGCCCUCUGCCUCAGCCAGAGGUUUUGUGACUCUCUUUGCAACU
rnacentral:lncRNA from 1 species